rnacentral:lncRNA from 1 species
GUAUUUCUAAAUGAUUGUCUCAAUCAAAUCCUCCCUGUUGAUUUUAUUUGACUGAUCUUUCUGAUUAUAGUCUUAUUGUUCAUUUGUCCUAGCCUCUUUAACUACUAGUCUAUUACCUUUUUUCUUAAAAUGGAUAUUUACUAACAUCUUGUAACUGAGCACUCUGUAUCAAUUGGAAGUUCUUCAAGACCUAAAGAAAUAUAUAUUUCAUGUUGCAGGCAUGGCUUAUAUGUUUCUGGAGAAGAGCUAAAAGCCCAUAGUGUAGAAGAGGAUAUUGCCUGUGAACUGCUGCAAUUUUGGAUUGGUUGCAUGAGACAGUCUCCAACUUCUCGUGAUUCUACACUAAUGGACAUCAUUACAGGAAUAGCUACCUUUGGCUUUUCAUUACCAACUCUUAUUUCAAGUAUAAUGGAGAGCUACGAAUUCUGCAGAUUAGGAAGCUGAGAAUUUCGGAAUUGGUGUUAGAGAAGUAAUUGUUGAAGCUUCCAUAAUAACUACUAACUCGGAGACAAUUGUGAUGUCCUCUAAACCUUCCAGCUCUGUUGAGUUGCUGCGUCAUUUCAUGUAUUUGCAGGCAUAUUUUGUAUCUGUAUCAUUCUGAUGAUUUCCGUGCUAGUGGUGAUUUGCAUGUUAGUGAUCAUUGACGUGCGAACGUGGAUAGACCUCUCAUUCACGUGGAUGAGACUCUUUCUUCGUUGUGAUCAUACAUAUAGGUUUGCCUAAGACUUUGAACAUCAUCUGCCCAACACCAUGUGUCAUAUUGGGUAGCAAAAUGUCGGACAGCAAAUUCCAUGCAGUAAUCUACACAAGUUUGGACGGGUUAAUGAUUAGGUUGAUUCUGGUAUCACGUAUUUUGCGC